GAUCCUGGCUCAGGAUGAACGCUAGCUACAGGCUUAACACAUGCAAGUCGAGGGGAAACGAUAUUGGAAGCUUGCUUCCGAUAGGCGUCGACCGGCGCACGAGUGAGUAACGCGUAUCCAACCUGCCCAUCACUUGGGGGAUAACCUUGCGAAAGUAAGACUAAUACCCAAUGACGUCUCUAGAAGACAUCUGAAAGAGAUUAAAGAUUUAUCGGUGAUGGAUGGGGAUGCGUCUGAUUAGCUUGUUGGCGGGGUAACGGCCCACCAAGGCGACGAUCAGUAGGGGUUCUGAGAGGAAGGUCCCCCCACAUUGGAACUGAGACACGGUCCAAACUCCUACGGGAGGCAGCAGUGAGGAAUAUUGGUCAAUGGACGAGAGUCUGAACCAGCCAAGUAGCGUGAAGGAUGAAGGUCCUACGGAUUGUAAACUUCUUUUAUAAGGGAAUAAACCCUCCCACGUGUGGGAGCUUGUAUGUACCUUAUGAAUAAGCAUCGGCUAACUCCGUG
rnacentral:rRNA from 1 species